AAACGAAAAAAUAGUCCCUCUCAAAAAAAGAAACAAUAAUACUAAUUUAAUACAAUUUUUUCUUCUCUUUUUCCUUCCUCUCCAUCAUCGCCGCCUUAAUCUCCUGCCCUAACUCGCUGCUCGACUCAUCCUCCAACAAUUCCGUUUCAAUAACUACCUCAGAUCUCGUGCUCUUUUUACUCUCUUCCUCCAAUGCUCGAAUCAUGAAAAGUCCGCUUUUUCUCGAUUGUGCAUUAAUUGCGGUCGUGGGUUUGCCGAUAGUUGUCACCGGUGUCGGUUUGAAUUGUAAGAAUGUGUUUAGUUGUUUGAUUAUCAACGGCGGUGAAGUAAGAUCAUCUUCUUUCUGAAAUUGUUAAUUUUUAUUCUUUAUUUUGAUUUUAAUUUUUAAUGUUUCUGCUAUCAGGUUGUGUUCAAGUACUCUGUUUUGAUGAUUUUAGUCCAUAAAAAUUCUUUGUUGGAUUUCUUCCACUGUAAAUUAAAUAAACCAAUAAUUAAACUUCGUUGUGUCAAUUUCUUAUCAGAAAAAUGAGAUUUAACAGAGAAAAAUGAGAUUUAACAGAGAAAAUAUGUUGUGGCUUCACCGUGCCAUUACUGAUGAGCAAUUACCGAUAUCUCAUUAUAAAUGACAGUGCUAGUCUCCAAAUUUUAAUGUAGCUUCGGUUGCUUAUGUUGCUUUCAUACUUUUGUUUAACCGUGCAUUUAUCAAUAAAAAUGAUUUUUUUCCCUUAAUGAUAAAUGCUUAUUUGUUCAUGUUUUUCUUUCUUGUUCUGGUCUUAAAGUUAAGCCAUUAGAUAGCCACAACAUUAUAUUCUGUCCCCAACUAAUUAAGCCUAUGAUGAAUUGGUUUCCUUGUCUUCUGUAAUAUUUAUGGAGUCUUCUCCUACCAGCUUUACUAGUCAAUUUAUUGUUUUAUUACGUUAGUGCUUUAAUUUUAUCUUCAGGAGAUUACAUAGAGAAUAUAGUCUAAGUUAGUUUUUUUGCAAUUAAAAUGAGAAUUAGUUUCUAUAUUAAAUAAAAACACAUUAAAAAUAGAAAAAUAAUAAUUAUAACAUUAAUUAUAUUUUUUUAAUUGUGUGAUAAUGAAAAACAGACAAAUAUAGUAAAACGGAAAAUAUAAUCCACCAAAGAUUAAAAUGCCUUUUCCAUUCUUAUCUUUUGGUAAUUCUAUCUUUUCCACUAUUCUCGAUUUUAUUAAAUUCCUUAAGUUUCUAUGUUAGUUUCAAUUGUUCAUUCUUGAAUCCGUGCAUUGAUCUUCUUUUUGUAUGCAGAUUUACAUUUUAAUUUAUUUUUUAGUGUUAUGUAGAUUAUACUUUUUUGUGAAUCAUAUUUAGAUAUUUCUUCUUUUAACACAAGAAUAAGUAGACAAAGUACUGCCACUCUUUAUGAAGUUUUCGUAUUUAAAUUUUUUAUUUUUUGAGAAUGGCAUUCUAUUCAAUCAACCUUCAUAGCUACAUCCUACAACCUUUUCACAAUAGUGAACUCUUUGGAGAUUGGAGUGUGCCUGUUGAAUGCAUAUCUUUUAAUGGGAGCACUGAGCAGUAGAUAUCAAAUAGCAUCCUCAUUCAUCUUAAUUUUGUUAUUUUGGAUUUCCAUUUGAUGUAAGAAAUUAAGAGCAAAUGAAAUAUCUUAUGUUGUGUAAGAUCUGCAUUUUAUUUUUUUGGCAGGACCAAAUAUUUUCAGAAUAUGAUGCCUUUUCUGCAUGGACAUUUGUAAAACGACGGCCGUUGUAGCAGACUCUCCUCUCUUGUUUUUGGCCUGUUUUGACUCUAGCGAUUUGCCUAUUUCCUGUCUAUCCUCAUUCGUGCAAGCUAUUGAUUCUCUACUCAUGUGCUGGUGUGCUUCUUCUAAUUCUCUCCCUGCUUCUGGGUACAUACCAAAGACCAUUAAUUGGUCUCUUCUUAUGUCAUCAUUCACAUUUGUGCCAGCAGCUUGUGUAUUUGGUUCGUCGUGAUCUAAUUGGCAAAAAUAUUUGCACAUUCUAAAUGGAAAUUGUUGGAAUGAAAGAAAUAAAAUCAAGAUGGACGUUUUCCUAGCUAUAUCAAAAGUUAGGCUUAGUUCAGUUUUUUUAGGGAAUAUUUUAAAUGUUUGCAUACAAUUGGUUAUUUUAGUACCAUUGAAGACUUAUUCAUUUAUAAUUUUAUGUAAUAUUUGAAUUGAUUUAGUUUUUUAUUCAUUGAUUUCAGCAACAA